rnacentral:rRNA from 1 species
AUACGUAGGGGGCGAGCGUUGUCCGGAAUGAUUGGGCGUAAAGGGCGCGUAGGCGGCGCGGUAAGUCUGGAGUGAAAGUCCUGCUUUCAAGGUGGGAAUUGCUUUGGAUACUGCCGCGCUUGAGUGCAGGAGAGGUUAUCGGAAUUCCCAGUGUAGCGGUGAAAUGCGUAGAGAUUGGGAGGAACACCAGUGGCGAAGGCGACUUACUGGGCCGUAACUGACGCUGAGGCGCGAAAGCGUGGGGAGCGAACAGGAUUAGAUACCCUGGUAGUCCACGCGGUAAACGAUGAAUGCUAGGUGUUGCGGGUAUCGACCCCUGCAGUGCCGGAGUAAACACAAUAAGCAUUCCGCCUGGGGAGUACGGCCGCAAGGUUGAAACUCAAAUGAAUUGACGGGG